AGAGUUUGAUCAUGGCUCAGAAUCAACGCUGGCGGCGCGCUUAACACAUGCAAGUCGCACGAGAAAGUGGAGCAAUCCAUGAGUAAAGUGGCGUACGGGUGAGUAACACGUGGAUCAUCUACCUCUUAGUGGGGAAUAACCCUGGGAAACCGGGGCUAAUACCGCAUAAGCCUGAGAAGGGAAAGCAGCAAUGCGCUGAGAGAGGAGUCCGCGGCCGAUUAGCUAGUUGGUAGGGUAAAGGCCUACCAAGGCAAUGAUCGGUAGCCGGCCUGAGAGGGCACACGGCCACACUGGCACUGAAACACGGGCCAGACUCCUACGGGAGGCAGCAGUGGGGAAUCUUGCACAAUGGAGGAAACUCUGAUGCAGCGACGCCGCGUGAGCGAUGAAGCCCUUCGGGGUGUAAAGCUCUUUCGACGGGAACGAUAAUGACGGUACCCGGAGAAGAAGCUGCGGCUAACUACGUGCCAGCAGCCGCGGUAAUACGUAGGCAGCAAGCGUUGUUCGGAAUUACUGGGCGUAAAGAGUGUGUAGGCGGUUCUCUAUGUUCGGUGUGAAAUCUCCCGGCUUAACUGGGAGGGUGCGCCGAAAACUGGAGGGCUUGAGUAUGGGAGAGGAAAGCGGAAUUCCUGGUGUAGCGGUGAAAUGCGUAGAUAUCANGAGGAACACCUGCGGUGUAGACGGCUUUCUGGACCAUCACUGACGCUGAGACACGAAAGCGUGGGGAGCAAACAGGAUUAGAUACCCUGGNAGUCCACGCCCUAAACGAUGCAUACUUGGUGUGAGCCGUUCAUUCGGUUCGUGCCGGANCUAACGCGUUAAGUAUGCCGCCUGGGGNGUACGGUCGCAAGGCUGAAACUCAAAGG
rnacentral:rRNA from 1 species